rnacentral:rRNA from 1 species
UACGUAGGGAGCAAGCGUUGUCCGGAAUCAUUGGGCGUAAAGCGCGCGUAGGUGGCUUCGUAAGUCCGCUGUGAAAGUCAAAGGCUCAACCUUUGAAAGCCGGUGGAUACUGUGAAGCUAGAGUCCGGAAGAGGCGAGUGGAAUUCCCGGUGUAGCGGUGAAAUGCGCAGAUAUCGGGAAGAACACCCGUGGCGAAGGCGGUUCUCUGGGACGGUACUGACGCUGAGACGCGAAAGCGUGGGGAGCGAACAGG